UGGGGAAUCUUGCACAAUGGGCGAAAGCCUGAUGCAGCGAUUCCGCGUGGAGGAUGACGCAUUACGGUGUGUAAACUCCUUUUUUGGUGGAAGACGAAUGACGGUACACCAAGAAUAAGGGACGGCUAACUACGUGCCAGCAGCCGCGGUAAUACGUAGGUCCCAAGCGUUAUCCGGAUUUACUGGGCGUAAAGUGUCCGUAGCCAGAUAUAUAAGUCUGUUUUCAAAUACCAUGACUCAAUCAUGGAAAGGGAAUAGAUACUGUAUAUCUAGAGAAUAUUGGAGGUGAGUGGAAUUUCCGGUGGAGCGGUGAAAUGCGUUGAUAUCGGAAAGAACGCCGAAAGCGAAAGCAGCUAACUAUGAUAUUUCUGACGGUGAUGGACGAAAGCUUGAGGAGCAAACG
rnacentral:rRNA from 1 species